GCCUGGUACGGGGGAGCAUGCCUGUAAUCCCAGCUGCUUUGGAGGCUGAGACAGGAGAAUUGCGAGUUCAAAGCCAGCCUCAGCAACUGUGAGGCACUAAGCAACUCAGUGAGACCCUGUCUCUA
rnacentral:sRNA from 1 species